UGGGUGAUCUGCCCUGCACCUUGGGAUAAGCCUGGGAAACUGGGUCUAAUACCGAAUACACCUCAUGGACUGCAUGGUUUGUGGGGGAAAGCUUUUGCGGUGUGGGAUGGGCCCGCGGCCUAUCAGCUUGUUGGUGGGGUGAUGGCUUACCAAGGCGACGACGGGUAGCCGGCUGAGAGGGUGACCGGCCACACUGGGACUGAGACACGGCCCAGACUCCGUACGGGAGCA
rnacentral:rRNA from 1 species